CUUUUGGUGGACAUGAGAAUUGGGAUGACAACAAACAGUGGGUUCGUAGAUAUUCAAUUUUUGCUAAAUUAUAAAGCUGCGAUGAGUAGCUUCAAUGGGUGACUGCUAGAAAGAGAAAUGAAGAAAUUAUAUGCAAAGAGUUGAAGUGGUGGUUAUUUAUUCACCAUACAUAAAAGUGCUUGACACUAUAGAUGUUGUGGAAUUCU